rnacentral:lncRNA from 1 species
CAUAUAGUUCAGAAAGGCAUGAUUUCAGAAAGUCAGCUGGUAAAGAUAAGUAUUUCCAUGGCUGAGCAGCAAGAAUCUUUUGUAAAGUGUUGAACAGAUUGACAGGAACCCAGAAACAGAAGUUGCAGUUUUGCUGACCUGGGGCCUAUGCAGUUGCUUUCCAGUGUUCCAGCAGACGCUUCCCCAAUCUUACUGUUCACCAAGCCUCCACGUGACCAGUGCACACCUUGAACUAUGUCCCAUCUCAUUCCGCAUCCACUGCAAUGGCUUUGGGCAACUGGUUUUACUGAACGUAACAGUUGUUCCCAUGACUACGGGAGUGCAAUUUUAGGAGAAGACUUGUCUGAUUGUUGCAUCCUGUUAAAGCUCCUUGGUGCUUUUAUCUUAUGAACUGUAAAAGCUCUCUAUUUUUUAAUCCCACUUCCCGUCAAUGCUAGGGCCACACUCGCUGAAUUGCUCUCGAGACUGGCUGCACUUUGGAUAGCCAGCUUCUUCCUCACCAAAUUCAAGUUUUUCAAGACUUAACUUGUCAUGAAGACCUGGGACUUUGGUGGUGAGUCAUCCUCAAAAGGCCAGUCUGGCCUCCACUUACUCUCUUUUCUGCAUGCGAGCAGUGUCACCCGUGGCUUUGAUGGCUGGAGUCUCCAGGACCAUCGCUGGCUCUCCUUAACUGUCAGCACGUGGGCCUCUGACACUUAGGAAAGACAUGUGGCUACUCUUCAGCAAGUACUAAUUAUCAUCUUCAAAU